rnacentral:lncRNA from 1 species
GAUGACAAGGUACUACAGAGAAUCUGUCUGCGCAGAGGUUUUUCUGCAAUGGGUUUGCAUUGCAUGACAGAACAAAACUGAAAACUGGCAGAGUGGCAGUGAACAGAAACAAAGUGAGAAUCAAGAGCUGCUGGUAGAGGAGAAGGAGGCGGUGUCGUUUAGUGGUAUUUUGCAAACUAAACAAAACAAAACAAAACACAGACCCAGCCUGGGGUUGCAGAGACAGUGCGCCCCACGAGCCACGCCGUCCAGUGAAGACCCAGAUGUCCCCAGUCAACCAGGCAACAAGUGCCUCUCCAGCCGAGCACCACUGCACGUGCGCUAUCCCCUCUCUCGCACGUGUUUCCAGCCCCU